rnacentral:rRNA from 1 species
CCAAGAGUACUAACUGUUGGGGCCGUUAGGCCUUAGUAGCGCAGCUAACGCGUGAAGUUGACCGCCUGGGGAGUACGGUCGCAAGAUUAAAACUCAAAGGAAUUGACGGGGACCCGCACAAGCGGUGGAUGAUGUGGAUUAAUUCGAUGCAACGCGAAAAACCUUACCUACCCUUGACAUGUCUGGAAUCCCGAAGAGAUUUGGGAGUGCUCGCAAGAGAACCGGAACACAGGUGCUGCAUGGCUGUCGUCAGCUCGUGUCGUGAGAUGUUGGGUUAAGUCCCGCAACGAGCGCAACCCUUGUCAUUAGUUGCUACGCAAGAGCACUCUAAUGAGACUGCCGGUGACAAACCGGAGGAAGGUGGGGAUGACGUCAAGUCCUCAUGGCCCUUAUGGGUAGGGCUUCACACGUCAUACAAUGGUCGGGACAGAGGGUCGCCAACCCGCGAGGGGGAGCCAAUCUCAGAAACCCGAUCGUAGUCCGGAUCGCAGUCUGCAACUCGACUGCGUGAAGUCGGAAUCGCUAGUAAUCGCGGAUCAGAAUGUCGCGGUGAAUACGUUCCCGGGUCUUGUACACACCGCCCGUCACACCAUGGGAGUGGGUUUCACCAGAAGUAGGUAGCCUAACCGUAAGGAGGGCGCUUACCACGGUGGGAUUCAUGACUGGGGUGAAGUCGUAACAAGGUAACCGAGA